ACACUGGUGGUUCAGUGGUAGAAUUCCUGUCUUCCAUGUGGGAGACAUGGGUUUGAUUCCCAGCCAAUGCG
rnacentral:tRNA from 1 species